GAGUCGAAUGUAGCAAUACAUGGCGUACUGCUCAGUAACACGUGGACAACCUACCCUCCGGACGGGUAUAAACCCGGGAAACUGGGUAUAAUCCCCGAUAGAUCUCGGUCGCUGGAAUGCCCCGAGAUCGAAAGCUCCGGCGCCAGAGGAUGGGUCUGCGGCCUAUCAGGUAGUAGUGGGUGUAGCGUACCUACUAGCCUACGACGGGUACGGGUUGUGAGAGCAAGAGCCCGGAGAUGGAUUCUGAGACACGAAUCCAGGCCCUACGGGGUGCAGCAGGCGCGAAAACUUUACAAUGCCGGCAACGGCGAUAAGGGGACCUCGAGUGCCAGGUUACAAAUCUGGCUGUCGUGAUGCCUAAAAAGCAUUGCAUAGCAAGGGCCGGGCAAGACCGGUGCCAGCCGCCGCGGUAACACCGGCGGCUCGAGUGGUAACCGUUAUUAUUGGGUCUAAAGGGUCUGUAGCCGGCCGGAUAAGUCUCUUGAGAAAUCCAGCAGCUCAACUGUUGGGCUUUCAGGAGAUACUGUUCGGCUCGAGGCCGGGAGAGGUGAGAGGUACUUCAGGGGUAGGGGUGAAAUCUUGUAAUCCUUGAAGGACCACCAGUGGCGAAGGCGUCUCACCAGAACGGACCUGACGGCAAGGGACGAAAGCUAGGGGCACGAACCGGAUUAGAUACCCGGGUAGUCCUAGCCGUAAACGAUACUCGCUAGGUGUCGGCCACGGUGCGACCGUUGUCGGUGCCGUAGGGAAGCCGUGAAGCGAGCCACCUGGGAAGUACGGCCGCAAGGCUGAAACUUAAAGGAAUUGGCGGGGGAGCACCACAACGGGUGGAGCGUAAAA
rnacentral:rRNA from 1 species